rnacentral:misc_RNA from 1 species
GAUGAAGAACGCAGCGAAAUGCGAUAAUUAAUGUGAAUUGCAGAAUUCCGUGAAUCAUCGAGUCUUUGAACGCACAUUGCGCCUCAUGGCAUUCCGUGAGGCAUGCCCAUCUCAGCGUUAGAAAAUAUUCUCAAAUUUUAGUUUUGUGCUAAAAUUUGGAUCAUGUCAAGGAAGCUAUUACUAUUAUUGUGAUUGCUCUUUGGAAAUUGAUAGGUUUUUGAGUUGCUACUCAUAGAACGUGAUGAAUCUUUCUUCGUUCUAUUGUAAUUCACUCUGGUAGUCCUAAAACUUGUAUGCCUGUGGCAUAUCUUGUAAUUUGACCUGAGAUUGGGUAGGGAUACCCGCUGAACUUAAGCAUAUCAAUAAGCGGAGGA